AGUCGACGGUAACAUUUCUAGCUUGCUAGAAGAUGACGAGUGGCGGACGGGUGAGUAAUGCUUGGGAACUUGCCUUUGCGAGGGGGAUAACAGUUGGAAACGACUGCUAAUACCGCAUAAUGUCUACGGACCAAACGGGGCUUAGGCUCCGGCGCAAAGAGAGGCCCAAGUGAGAUUAGCUAGUUGGUGAGGUAAAGGCUCACCAAGGCGACGAUCUCUAGCUGUUCUGAGAGGAAGAUCAGCCACACUGGGACUGAGACACGGCCCAGACUCCUACGGGAGGCAGCAGUGGGGAAUAUUGCACAAUGGGGGAAACCCUGAUGCAGCCAUGCCGCGUGUGUGAAGAAGGCCUUCGGGUUGUAAAGCACUUUCAGUUGUGAGGAAAAGUUAGUAGUUAAUACCUGCUAGCCGUGACGUUAACAACAGAAGAAGCACCGGCUAACUCCGUGCCAGCAGCCGCGGUAAUACGGAGGGUGCGAGCGUUAAUCGGAAUUACUGGGCGUAAAGCGCACGCAGGCGGUUUGUUAAGCUAGAUGUGAAAGCCCCGGGCUCAACCUGGGAUGGUCAUUUAGAACUGGCAGACUAGAGUCUUGGAGAGGGGAGUGGAAUUCCAGGUGUAGCGGUGAAAUGCGUAGAUAUCUGGAGGAACAUCAGUGGCGAAGGCGACUCCCUGGCCAAAGACUGACGCUCAUGUGCGAAAGUGUGGGUAGCGAACAGGAUUAGAUACCCUGGUAGUCCACACCGUAAACGCUGUCUACUAGCUGUGUGUGAUUUUAAAUCGUGCGUAGCGAAGCUAACGCG
rnacentral:rRNA from 1 species